rnacentral:rRNA from 1 species
AUUUUGGCCCUGCGUUAUAAACUGUAUGUUGUGUGCAUGGAAUAAUGGAAUAGGACCUCGGUUCUAUUUUGUUGGUUUUCGGAAUCUGAGGUAAUGAUCAAUGGGGACAGGCGGGGGCAUUCGUAUUGCGACGUUAGAGGUGAAAUUCUUGGAUCGUCGCAAGACGGACCGAAGCGAAAGCAUUUGCCAAGUAUGUUCUCGUCGAUCAAGAACGAAAGUUAGAGGUUCGAAGGCGAUCAGAUACCGCCCUAGUUCUAACCAUAAACUAUGCCUGCCAGCGAUCCGCCGAAGUUCCUCCGAUGACUCGGCGGGCAGCUUCCGGGAAACCAGAGCUUUUGGGUUCCGGGGGAAGUAUGGUUGCAAAGCUGAAACUUAAAGGAAUUGACGGAAGGGCACCACCAGGAGUGGAGCCUGCGGCUUAAUUUGACUCAACACGGGAAAACUCACCAGGCCCGGACACCGGAAGGAUUGACAGAUUGAGAGCUCUUUCUUGAUUCGGUGGGUGGUGGUGCAUGGCCGUUCUUAGUUGGUGGAGCGAUUUGUCUGGUUAAUUCCGAUAACGAACGAGACUCUAGCCUACUAACUAGGCGUACCCGGUAUCCACAAUCGUGCUACCGGCGAUCAAAUUUCUUCUUAGAGGGACAGGCGGCUUCUAGCCGCACGAGACUGAGCAAUAACAGGUCUGUGAUGCCCUUAGAUGUCCUGGGCCGCACGCGCGCUACACUGAAGGAAUCAGCGUGUCUUCCCUGUCCGAAAGGACCGGGUAAUCCGCUGAACCUCCUUUGUGCUAGGGAUUGGGGCUUGCAAUUGUUCCCCAUGAACGAGGAAUCCCAGUAAGCGCGAUUAUUGC